rnacentral:rRNA from 1 species
UUGACCUCGGAUCAGGUAGGGAUACCCGCUGAACUUAAGCAUAUCAAUAAGCGGAGGAAAAGAAACCAACAGGGAUUGCCUCAGUAACGGCGAGUGAAGCGGCAACAGCUCAAAUUUGAAAUCUGGCUCUUUCAGGGUCCGAGUUGUAAUUUGUAGAAGAUGCUUUGGGUGUGGCUCCGGUCUAAGUUCCUUGGAACAGGACGUCAUAGAGGGUGAGAAUCCCGUACGUGACUGGGUGCCUUCGCUCGUGUAAAGCUCUUUCGACGAGUCGAGUUGUUUGGGAAUGCAGCUCAAAAUGGGUGGUAAAUUUCAUCUAAAGCUAAAUAUUGGCCAGAGACCGAUAGCGCACAAGUAGAGUGAUCGAAAGAUGAAAAGCACUUUGGAAAGAGAGUUAAACAGUACGUGAAAUUGUUGAAAGGGAAGCGCUUGCAACCAGACUUGCAGGCGGUUGAUCAUCCG